UACGUAGGGUGCGAGCGUUAAUCGGAAUUACUGGGCGUAAAGCGUGCGCAGGCGGUUUUGUAAGCCGGAUGUGAAAUCCCCGGGCUUAACCUGGGAAUGGCAUUCGGGACUGCAAGGCUGGAGUGCGGCAGAGGAGACUGGAAUUCCUGGUGUAGCAGUGAAAUGCGUAGAUAUCAAGUGGAACACCAGUGGCGAAGGCGAGUCUCUGGACGAUUCCUGACACUGAGGCACGAAAGCCAGGGGAGCAAACGGG
rnacentral:rRNA from 1 species